rnacentral:rRNA from 1 species
AUUGAACGCUGGCGGCGUGCUUAACACAUGCAAGUCGAACGGUGAAGCAGGAGCUUGCUCCUGUGGAUCAGUGGCGAACAGGUGAGUAACACGUGAGCAAUCUGCCCCGAACUCUGGGAUAAGCGCUGGAAACGGCGUCUAAUACCGGAUACGACGCGCGACGGCAUCGUCUGCGCGUGGAAAGAACUUCGGUUCGGGAUGAGCUCGCGGCCUAUCAGCUUGUUGGUGAGGUAAUGGCUCACCAAGGCGACGACGGGUAGCCGGCCUGAGAGGGUGACCGGCCACACUGGGACUGAGACACGGCCCAGACUCCUACGGGAGGCAGCAGUGGGGAAUAUUGCACAAUGGGCGCAAGCCUGAUGCAGCAACGCCGCGUGAGGGACGACGGCCUUCGGGUUGUAAACCUCUUUUAGUAGGGAAGAAGCGAAAGUGACGGUACCUGCAGAAAAAGCACCGGCUAACUACGUGCCAGCCGCCGCCGUAAGAC